rnacentral:rRNA from 1 species
AGUGAACGCUGGCGGUAGGCCUAACACAUGCAAGUCGAACGGCAGCACAGUAAGAGCUUGCUCUUACGGGUGGCGAGUGGCGGACGGGUGAGGAAUACAUCGGAAUCUACUUUUUCGUGGGGGAUAACGUAGGGAAACUUACGCUAAUACCGCAUACGACCUACGGGUGAAAGCAGGGGAUCUUCGGACCUUGCGCGAUUGAAUGAGCCGAUGUCGGAUUAGCUAGUUGGCGGGGUAAAGGCCCACCAAGGCGACGAUCCGUAGCUGGUCUGAGAGGAUGAUUAGCCACACUGGAACUGAGACACGGUCCAGACUCCUACGGGAGGCAGCAGUGGGGAAUAUUGGACAAUGGGCGCAAGCCUGAUCCAGCCAUACCGCGUGGGUGAAGAAGGGCUUCGGGUUGUAAAGCCCUUUUGUUUGGAAAGAAAAGCAGCAGGUUAAUACCCCGCUGUUCUGACGGUACCCAAAGAAUAAGCACCGGCUAACUUCGUG